rnacentral:rRNA from 1 species
CAGUCGCCACGGUAAUACGAAGGGGGCUAGCGUUGCUCGGAAUUACUGGGCGUAAAGGGAGCGUAGGCGGACAUUUAAGUCAGGGGUGAAAUCCCAGAGCUCAACUCUGGAACUGCCUUUGAUACUGGGUGUCUUGAGUGUGAUAGAGGUAUGUGGAACUCCGAGUGUAGAGGUGUAAUUCGUAGAUAUUCGGAAGAACACCAGUGGCGAAGGCGACAUACUGGAUCAUUACUGACGCUGAGGCUCGAAAGCGUGGGGAGCAAACAGGAUUAGAUACCCCCGUAGUCCCUGUCUCUUAUAC